GGUGUAGGCGGAGUAACAGGUGUUCUGUGAAAGCCCUCGGCUCAACCGAGGAAUAGCAGGGCAAACCGUUACUCUUGAGGCAGGUAGGGGCAAGUGGAACCAUGGGUGGAGCGGUGAAAUGCGUAGAUAUCCAUGGGAACGCCGGUGGCGAAAGCGGCUUGCUGGGCCUGUCCUGACGCUGAGACCCGAAAGCGUGGGUAGCAAACAGGAUUAGAUACCCUGGUAGUCC
rnacentral:rRNA from 1 species